rnacentral:tRNA from 1 species
UCCGCAGUAGCUCAAGGGUAGAGCGGGUGACUGUUAAUCACUAGGUUGGGGGUUCAAAUCCCUCCUGCGGAGCCA